rnacentral:rRNA from 1 species
GACGAACGCUGGCGGCGUGCUUAACACAUGCAAGUCGAACGGUAAGGCCCUUCGGGGUACACGAGUGGCGAACGGGUGAGUAACACGUGGGUGAUCUACCCUGCACUUCGGGAUAAGCCUGGGAAACUGGGUCUAAUACCGGAUAGGACUCCGGACUGCAUGGUCUGGGGUGGAAAGCUUUUGCGGUGUGGGAUGGGCCCGCGGCCUAUCAGCUUGGUGGUGGGGUGAUGGCCUACCAAGGCGACGACGGGUAGCCGGGCUGGGAGGGUGACCGGCCACACUGGGACUGAGAUAAGGCCCAGACUCCUACGGGAGGCAGCAGUGGGGAAUAUUGCACAAUGGGCGCAAGCCUGAUGCAGCGACGCCGCGUGAGGGAUGACGGUCUUCGGAUUGUAAACCUCUUUCAGUAGGGACGAAGCGAAAGUGACGGUACCUAAAGAAGAAGCACCGGCUAACUACGUGCCAGCAGCCGCCGUAA